GACGAACGCUGGCGGCGUGCUUAACACAUGCAAGUCGAACGGAAAGGCCCUGCUUUUGUGGGGUGCUCGAGUGGCGAACGGGUGAGUAACACGUGAGUAACCUGCCCUUGACUUUGGGAUAACUUCAGGAAACUGGGGCUAAUACCGGAUAGGAGCUCCUGCUGCAUGGUGGGGGUUGGAAAGUUUCGGCGGUUGGGGAUGGACUCGCGGCUUAUCAGCUUGUUGGUGGGGUAGUGGCUUACCAAGGCGUUGACGGGUAGCCGGCCUGGGAGGGUGACCGGCCACAUUGGGCCUGAGGUAGGGCCCGGACUCCUACGGGAGGCAGCAGUGGGGAAUAUUGCACAAUGGGCGGAAGCCUGAUACAGCAACGCCGCGUGCGGGAUGACGGCCUUCGGGUUGUAAACCGCUUUCGCCUGUGACGAAGCGUGAGUGACGGUAAUGGGUAAAGAAGCACCGGCUAACUACGUG
rnacentral:rRNA from 1 species